CUUGUGUCAUUAAACUUUAAUUUGAAAAAAUUCCCAUUCAUUUUCAGCCAAUUAUGUCAGCUCUGUGUGUUUGGCAGUGCUCCGUGUUUGUGUCCAGGGAGGAAGAACGUUUACUUUGUGUGUGUCUAUGAAUGAAGUACAGUGAUUAGUAGAUUUAGGAAAAAAACAAUGUAGCAAGCAAAAGAAAAACAAAAUGGGGUGCAGAGGGAAUUCAAUCACAACAACAAUAAAAACUACAGGAAUAAACCCACUGAGGAAAUGGGUGGGUUCUUUAGGGAGAAAACCAUAAUGUGGGGCUGAAGGCAGACAAGAUGAUCAGAGUUUGUACAGGGCUCUACACGUCCAUGGAAAGACUCAGUAUUGUACUGAUGUCAAUUUUCCCCAAAAUAAUCUCUCCCUUUUUCUUUUCUUUUCUUUUUAGGGCCGCACUUGUAGCAUAUGGAAGUUCCCAGGCUAGGGGCCUAAUUGGAGCUACAGCUGCUGGCCUACGCCACAGCCACAGCAACAUGGGAUCCGAGCCGCAUCUGUGACCUACGCCACAGCUCAUGGCAACUCUGGAUCUUUAACCCACUGACCGAAGCCAGGGAUCAAACCCGUAACCUCAUGGUUACUAGUCAGAUUUGUUUCUGCUGUGCCACGACGGGAACCCUCCAAAACAAUUUUUAAAUUCACAGAACUUGACAAGCAGGUGGAGGAGUUGAUGUACACUAAUAGUUAGCUUAGAUAAUUGAAAAGGAAGCACAAUGAACUGGAGCAUUUUACUUACUAGAUAUCAAAAGAUGGCAUAAAGCAAUAGCCGGUAAAAUAGUCUGACACAGAGAGAAAUACGCAGAUUGGUAAAACAGAACAAGGGCCUCAGACCCACCUAGACACUGUAAUUCAUUAUAUGAGGGAGUCUGAUUUCAGAUCAGCAGAGAAAGAACAAAUUCGUGUUGCAAUUAUCAGUGAUACAUGUUUGGAGAAAUGUUAGAUAAUAUCUCAUUUCAAUCAUAAACAUACAUUCCAGCUGCAUAAAGACCCAUAUAAAAACAAAACUACUAGAAAGGAAUUCAGAAUGUAUUUAAACCUUAGUAGUAAGAAAAGCCUAAACAUGAUGUAUAAAUAAAAAGAACAAAGGAACAGAUAAAUUUGAUUAUGUCAAAAUUGAUAACUUCUGUCUAACAAAAGCUCCUACAAAAUUUGAAGGCAAUAGACCAGCUGGAAGAAAACAUUUGCCACACACACACACACACACACACACACACACACACACACACACACACACACACACACGAUUGAUAUCUAGGUUAUAUUAGGAAACUCAUAAAUCAUUAAGAUAGACAAACAACCUAAUUUUUAAAUGAGCAAAAAUAAACAGAUUAUUCAGAAAAUAAAAAACACAAAUGCCUAAUACACAUAUGAAAAUCUCACUAGCAAACAAGUAUGCAUAAAUUUUUUUAAACGAUUCAAUUUUUCAUCCAUCAGAUUGGCAAACAUUUAAAAUAACUGCUUAUGGUGUGGGGACUGCAGUCCCCGCACACCCUCUGGCUAGAAGUUUAAAUGGUACAGAAAUCAUGGAGAACACUUUGGUAAUGUCUAAAACCAAAAAUGUGGAACUUGUGAGAGCCAAAAUUCUACUUAUCGAUGCAGGGGAGGGCACACUCUCGGCAUGUGGAAGUUCCUGGAAGCAGCAACUUGAGCCACUACAAUGAUAAUGCCAGAUCCUUAACCUGCUCAGCCACAUGGGAACUCCCCCAAUUCCACUUUUUAAACACUAUUCUAAAGAAACAUUACAGAGGAGGCAUGUAUAAGGCUUUUCUGCAGCCUGCUUAUGAGGGAGGAAAGAAAAGGAUGCAACAAACUAUCUAUGGAUCUUAGGGAAGAAAAAAAUGUGGCACAUGCAUGGGAGUGAUUAUAACACAGCUAUUAAAAGGAACUGGUGAGAACUAUUGUAUCAAUAUGAGUAUAUCUUAGCAAUCGAAGACAGUGAAAAAAAAAAACACAGCUUACAGUAAAAUCUCUAUAAGACGGGAGGAGUCAUUCAAAGUAUCUACAUCGAUACAUUUCUAUGGAAGGAGACACAUAAAACUGUGGGGAGGGGAGGCGAGCUAGAACUUCAGAGGAUGGCCAAAGGAAACUUUAGUUACAUUCAUAUUGUUCUACUUUUAAAAGGAAAAUGUAUUCAUGCUUUACUUGUUUAAUUAAAGUAUAAUCUGAAAAGAUUCUAAUUUGUUUUCAGCCAAUUAUGCCAGCUCUGAGUGUUUGGCUGUGCUCACGUGCGUGAGCCCAGGGAGGAAGAACGUUUACUUUGCGUGUGUGUCCGCAAGUCAAGCUGAUCAGUGAACAGGUUGAAACGAAGGAUGGAAAAACAAAGGGCACGAUAUUUGGUGAUAAUCUAUAGGAGAAAAGAAUCUGAAAAAGAAUGGAUGUGUGUAUAUGUAUAACUGAAUCACUCUGUCGUACUGCAGAAAUUAUCACAACAUUGUGAAUCAACUAUACUUCAAUGAAACUUAAAAAACAAAACAAACAAAAGCCCCAAGGGUCAAAUAAACAAAUAAGGGGAGAGGAGAUCCUAUUCACAACUGGCAACAAAACCUGUAAUAAAACGAGGAAUAAAUUUAUCAAGAAAUAUGCAAGACUUUUAACGAGAGAAAACCACACACCUUCCCUGAAAGACGUGAAAGAUGACCGCAACUGAGAGAUACAGCAAAGAGCACUGGUUGGCAGAUGCAAACAUGAUAAAGGGGCCAAUUUUCCUCAGACUUAUCCAUAAACUCAAUGUGACCCCAAUUAAAAUCCUAGCAGAAUUUUUCUUGAAAGUUGACUGGCUAUUUUAAAAUUCAUGUGGUGGGACAAAUAUGCAAGGAUGACCAAGGCAAUUUUACAAAAACAACAAAGAGGGUGGGAUUUGUCCCGGCAGUUAGCAAAGCAUAUUAUCCAGCUCAGGAGUAGACAAAUAGAUCAGUGGACCAGAAAGAGCUCUGACAUAGACCCACAUUGGAAUUUAGUGUCAGGCAGAGGCAGCGAUUUUAAAUCAGUGGAGAAAGGACAGAUUACCCAAUAAAUGGUACUGAAAAUAUUGGUUAUCAAUUUUGAAGUUUACUAAAAUUAAGCAUCCAUAACACACUAAAAAUUAGCUUCAUAUGCAGUAAAGGCUUAAAUGUGAGAAUAGUAAAAUAACAUAAAAUACAUAUGCAAGAAAGAAAAUCAUGAAAGCUUCAGGAAAAAUACAGGAAAAAUGGUUGUGAUCUUAACAUAAGCAGGGCCUUCUUAUGGCAAGAUAAUUCUAAAUUUGACAUAAAAAUUAAGAGCUCUGUAAUAAAAAGAUAAUACAGUUAAAUGACAAGGGUCAGAAUGGUAGAUUACAUGCAAUGCAUAGAGUAGACAGGGAAUUCAUAUGAAAAAUACGUAAAUAAAUCCUAUAAGUCAAAAAGAAAAAGACAACACAGAAGAGAGGGGGACAAAGGAGAUGCAUGGAUGAUUCCAAUGGGAGGAAAUAUAAAUGGCCAGGAGACCCAGGAGGAGACCACAAUGUGACCGGGAAAACACAAACGAAAUCAAGAAACCACUUUUUUCAUUCAUCAGAUCCAUAAACUUUAAAAGCUGGCAAUGGUUUGGAAAAAGGAAGAUUUACAGUUCCUUGUGAAAGGAGUUUAAAUUGCACAGCAACUUCAGAAGCCAACUUGGACUGCGACUACUAAAACUGGAACGGUGGACACCACAGGGGCCAGAGUUCCACUCUCACUGCCAACCCUAUAGAAACAUUUCCAGAGCAGGUGCCAAGAUGUCCCUGGCAGCAUUCUUCAUUACAAGGGGUUAAGGGGAGGAACCCCUCAGACUAUGGAUGUUAGAGAAGGGGAAUCUUGGUACAGUCAGGUGAAGAAGUACUACCCUAUACAGCUGCUAAAAAGCAUGAACAAGAGCUGCUAUAUCACUAACAUGAGUGUAACUCAAAAGCAAAGAUUAAGUGAAAAAAUGCAGGAUAUAGUAUAAUACCUAUGACAUGGUGACAUUUAUUCAAAAUACUUCCAUCCAUACUAUCUAUAUAUUUACUAUGGAAGGCAAUAUAUCAAAUUCUUUUUUUUUUUUUUUUUUUUUUUUUAUGGCUGCACCUGUGGCAUAUGGAAAUUCCUGGACGAGGGAUUGAACCUGAGUCUCCAAAGUGACCUGAGCCACUGCAGUCAGAUUGUUAACUUACUGCACCACAGCAGGAACUCUUAAUACAUCAAACUCUGAACAGUGGCCACCUCUGCGGAGGGUUGAGGAACCAGGACCUCAAGUGACCAAAGGAAACUUUAAUUUCAUACUGCUCUCCUUUUAAAAGGAAAAUGUAUUCGUGCUUUACUUGUUUAAUUAAAGUAUAAUCUGAAAAGAUUCUAAUUUGUUUUCAGCCAAUUAUGCCAGCUCUGAGUGUUUGGCUGUGCUCACGUGCGUGAGCCCAGGGAGGAAGAACGUUUACUUUGCGUGUGUGUCCGCAAGUCAAGCUGAUCAGUGAACAGGUUGAAACGAAGGAUGGAAAAACAAGGGCCAAACAUAAGGGGAGAGGAGAUCCUAUUCACAACUGGCAACAAAACCUGUAAUAAAACGAGGAAUAAAUUUAUCAAGAAAUAUGCAAGACUUUUAACGAGAGAAAACCACACACCUUCCCUGAAAGACGUGAAAGAUGACCGCAACUGAGAGAUACAGCAAAGAGCACUGGUUGGCAGAUGCAAACAUGAUAAAGGGGCCAAUUUUCCUCAGACUUAUCCAUAAACUCAAUGUGACCCCAAUUAAAAUCCUAGCAGAAUUUUUCUUGAAAGUUGACUGGCUAUUUUAAAAUUCAUGUGGUGGGACAAAUACGCAAGGAUGACCAAGGCAAUUUUACAAAAACAACAAAGAGGGUGGGAUUUGUCCCGGCAGUUAGCAAAGCAUAUUAUCCAGCUCAGGAGUAGACAAAUAGAUCAGUGGACCAGAAAGAGCUCUGACAUAGACCCACAUUGGAAUUUAGUGUCAGGCAGAGGCAGCGAUUUUAAAUCAGUGGAGAAAUGAUAUAUUAUUCCAUAAGUGGUAUUGGGACAAUUACCUACCCAUUUGUGGGAAACAGAGAGGGAUUAAAGUUAGUUCCUAAGAUUCAGGCAUUUGGAAUUUGUUCUUUGUAUAUAGUAUAAAGGCUUAAAUAUGUAUUUAUACAGAAACUAUAAAUUUUAGAGAAGGAAAUAUAGAAAAUACUUAUGAUCUUGAUCUAGAAAAGACUUUUUUUUUUUUUUUUUUGCUAUUUCUUGGGCCACUCCCUCGGCAUAUGGAGGUUCCCAGGCUAGGGGUUGAAUCGGAGCUGCAGCCACCAGCCUACACCAGAGCCACAGCAACGCUGGAUCCGAGCC
rnacentral:lncRNA from 1 species